UUCCUCUCCACCUUAGAAUAUUCAGAUCACAUACCUCAAUUCAGCCAGCACAAAAACAAUUGCCCUUUCUUCUUCACACUUACUAAUCUCCAACAGAACCACUACCAUGAUCACACCACAGCCAUAGGCCCACAAUGCUAGAUGUGGUCGUCUCCUCCACUCCCUCACGCCCUUGAAGCCUCAAGGCCAUCGAUCUACUCUCCUUCGUUCCUUCACUGGCUUUCUUUAUUUCUCUUCUCUGGUUUGGGGUCUCUCGUCUUCAUUUCUUGUCUCUAGUUGAACGCUUGGCUUGAGGUGUCCCAUUACCUCCAUUUUGCCUUUCUAGCUAUUGGGUUGCUCUUCAACAACAUGCAAGUCCAUGGUUUUCACCCUAAUAACGAAUGAAAAGUCCUCAUUGACGGUUGUAUUUAUGAUAAAUCUUUGCACCUAGCCUUCGAUUCUUCUCCUGUUUAUUUUCAAAUAGUUUCAAAAAUUUAUAUAUUCGACAUAUUUAUUUGGUCAAUUAUUUAAUUUAAGGUUGUUAUUUAUUGUUGGAUUUGUUGUAUACUGUUGGGCUUUUCUUCUUUCUGAGCCUAAUUGGAAUUUGAAAUAUUUAUUUUGUUGAUUGUUCGCAUUAAA
rnacentral:misc_RNA from 1 species